rnacentral:sRNA from 1 species
UGAUUUUACAGAAACACAAUCUCGAAUC